rnacentral:rRNA from 1 species
AACGAACGCUGGCGGCAUGCCUAACACAUGCAAGUCGAACGAGACCUUCGGGUCUUGUGGCGCACGGGUGCGUAACGCGUGGGAACCUGCCCUUAGGUUAGGAAUAACUCCCCGUAAGGGGUGCUAAUACCGGAUAAUGUCUUCGGACCAAAGAUUUUUCGCCUUUGGAUGGGCCCGCGUUGGAUUAGCUAGUUGGUAGGGUAAAAGCCUACCAAGGCGACGAUCCAUAGCUGGUCUGAGAGGAGGAUCAGCCGCACUGGGACUAAGACACGGCCCAGACUCCGACGGGAGGGAGCAGUGGGUAAUAUUGGGGAAGGGGCGAAAGCCUGAUCAAGCAAUGCCGGGUGAGUGAUGAAGGCCUUAGUGUUGUAAAGCUCUUUUACCCGGGAUGAUAAUGACAGUACCGGGAGAAUAAGCGCCGGCUAACUCCGUG